CGUGCAGGCGGCCUCUUAAGUCUGAUGUGAAAGCCCGGGGCUCACCCCCGGAAGAGCAUUGGAAACUGGGAAGCUAGAGUACCGGAGAGGAAGGUGGAAUUCCUGGUGUAGCGGUGAAAUGCGUAGAUAUCAGGAGGAACACCGGUGGCGAAGGCGGCCUUCUGGACGGAUACUGACGCUGAGACGCGAAAGCGUGGGGAGCAAACAGGAUUAGAUACCCUGGUAGUCCACGCCGUAAACGAUGGGCACUAGGUGUUCGGGGUAUUGACCCCCUGAGUGCCGCAGCUAACGCAUUAAGUGCCCCGCCUGGGGACUACAGCCGCAAGGUUAAA
rnacentral:rRNA from 1 species